rnacentral:rRNA from 1 species
UUACCUUGUUACGACUUCACCCCAAUCACCGGCCAUACCUUCGAUGGCUGCCCCCCUUGCGGGUUAGCUCACCAACUUCGGGUACAACAGACUUUCGUGGUGUGACGGGCGGUGUGUACAAGGCCCGGGAACGUAUUCACCGCGGCGUAGUGAUCCGCGAUUACUAGCGAUUCCACGUUCACGGAGUCGAGUUGCAGACUCCGAUCCCAACUGAGACUACUUUUAGGGAUUGGCUCCACCUCACAGCUUCGCUCCCCUCUGUAGUAGCCAUUGUAGCACGUGUGUAGCCCUGGACAUAAGGGCCAUGAUGACUUGACGUCAUCCCACCCUUCCUCCAGCUUGUCGCUGGCAGUUUCCUCAGAGAGCCCUCUCAGGCAACAGAGAAUAAGGGUUGCGCUCGUUGCGGGACUUAACCCAACACCUCACGGCACGAGCUGACGACAGCCAUGCAGCACCCGCGUUAGCUCCU